rnacentral:rRNA from 1 species
GAACCGUUGGUUCAGAUAUUUGGUCAUUGCGGUUAGCUGAACAGCUAGUGCCGCGAAGCUACCAUCUGUAGGAUUAUGACUGAACGCCUCUAAGUCAGAAUCCAUGCUGGCAGCGACGAUAUUCACCUCGACCGGUGUUUUUGUACCGAUAGCCUUUUGGUCAACACGUUACUUCACCAUACUACCGAAUGUUGGUCGAGUUAAAUCCUCUGUAGACGACUUGAAUUGAACGGGGUACUGUAAGCA